rnacentral:rRNA from 1 species
GGCAAAAGCUCAAAUUUGAAAUCUGGCACUUUCAGUGUCCGAGUUGUAAUUUGUAGAAGUAGUUUUGGGGCUGGUCCUUGUUUAUGUUCCUUGGAACAGGACGUCAUAGAGGGUGAGAAUCCCGUGUGGCGAGGAUCCCAGUCCUUUGUAAAACGCUUUCGAAGAGUCGAGUUGUUUGGGAAUGCAGCUCUAAGUGGGUGGUAAAUUCCAUCUAAAGCUAAAUAUUGGCGAGAGACCGAUAGCGAACAAGUACAGUGAUGGAAAGAUGAAAAGAACUUUGAAAAGAGAGUGAAAAAGUACGUGAAAUUGUUGAAAGGGAAGGGCAUUUGAUCAGACAUGGUGUUUGGACGCCCUGCGCUCCUUGUGGGUGCAGGACACGCUUUUCACUGGGCCAACAUCAGUUUUGGCAGCAGGAUAAAUCGCCAGGAACGUAGCUGCCCUCGGGUAGUGUUACAGCCUGGUGGAAUACUGCUAGCCGGGACUGAGGACUGCGUCUUUUGACAAGGAUGUUGGCAUAAUGGUUAAAUGCCGCCCGUCUU